AUAAUCCGCUUUAAUAUCUUUAUAAAAACAUUUUUUCAUCUUUAUAGUUUUAAACUUAUAUAAAAACGGCUAAAACAUACACGUAAACAUUGAAUACCUCUACGUUUCUUUGAGAGAGAUUUUCAUUGAAAAAGAUAAUAAGCAAUCAACAUAAUCUUUGUAAAAUCUUUUGACAUUCAAAUGUCAGACUGACAUUUACAUGAUAACAUUAAAUAAUACUUUUUUUUAAUUUUAUGAGCUGGUAACAUAGACCUUUAAGUCAUAUCUUAUUCCAUUAAAUAAUACUGUCUAAAUUUUGUACAGAUUAUGUAUGUCAUUUUUAUAAUACAAGGUCGGUACAUUUUAAUUAAAAAAAAACUAUAAUAUAUAUAUGUAUAUACUAUAUGUAUAUGACUACCAUGCAGUUAGUAAUAAAUUCUUAACUAUAUCACUACCAGUAUUUCGAUAAGGCAUAACUGAAUAUAUUGUCAGAUCUAUCAGGAAGCAUGUUAUCUUAAAAUAGUAAUUGAUGGCUUUUCAUUGACUUUAAGUUGUAUAUUUCGUAAGCAUAUUAAAACUUCAUAAAUAUUACUAUAUAGUAUAUGGCAACAUUUUUAUGUAUUGCCAUACCAAUAUAUAAUAUUUACCAUUAAACUAGAUCUUACUAAGAAAAAAAUUGCCUCUUAAAAGAGAUAUAACUUUGAAAGUUUAACUAAAUUCUAGAUUAAAAAAUAAAUCUAUUAAGUUAAUACUUAACAACUAAAAGCAAAUGUCAUGUGGAUAAUAUUAAAUUAUAAUUUGAUCGAUUUAAUUCAUUUCUUUGUAACACCAAUAAAUGCGAAGGUUUAGUUACAUCUCUCGGAAGUCACUUAACACGUUAGCUGCCAGCUGUUCGAAAAACGAAUUUUUUUUUUAAUUUUUGUCCAACACCAUUUGAAUGGGCACUUGCGGGUCACGCUGUUUACAACAAUUCGAUUAAAAAGCCCCAGCGAGGUGUUGAAUGGAAGUAUGGCUUGUCGGACACAUAGUCCGCCACGGCCUGAUUGAAACAUUAGCUUGUCGGACAUAAAGUCCGACAUGGCAGCUAACGUGUUAAACAAUUUUUCAAGCAUUAUAAAAAUUAAAAAUAGAUGAAAAAAAUCAUACAGUUUUAAUCAAUGUUCAGAUUUGGUAGAUUUAAUAAAAUGGACAAUUUAAUUUGAUAUUGCAAUCUUACCCGUUUAGGGAAGACAAACUCUAUGGUAAUUUAGAGAUGGUAACAUUAAGGAAAAAAUAUUUUCCAGAUUCUUUUUAUUCAAUAGAUUAUUUUAUUUAAACCUUCGCAAAUAGUUCUUUAAAAAUCUUGUUACCACUAAAAUGUAUUUGAUCAGUUGACGCUAAACGCAAUCACGUGCUAAAAUAUUACUUUUAAAAACUAACAUACAAAUGACGUCACAAACUUUGUGGCCCAACAGGGCACACAUGUAAAUGUAAAAAAGUAACUAGCCAAUAUGAGUUCAUUAAAAACAUUGAAACGAAUACAUACAUGUAAAAUUCAAAUUAUUACAUCAAAAAGUUUAUAACAAUGCCAAAAAUAAAUCUUCACGACAUCAAACAAUUCGAGUAUCAUCAAAAUCACAUAAGUUACUAAUACCACACUUUUUCGAGCCUAAUAUUAAUGAUACCUUCUUAAUUAACUUUUUAAAUUAUUUCUUACAAUCAAGUGCACUUUUAUGAGUUCUCACUACAUUCAUAGUUUCGUUAAUUAGAAUUAUAACAGCGACCUUAUUUCUAAUACAAUAGAGUCGGUUUUCUCUUGAGGUCGGACAUUCGUCAUAUAAAAAUAUGACAAAGUGCCUAAAGAUUCGUUUAGAGAAUCCGGGAUCAUACGAAUGCUCGUCAGUCGAAUCAGAGUGGGAUAAACAUAUCGGAAUACAAUACGUUUGUCUCGCUCUGAAGCGACUGCCGAGCGUUCGUACGAUUCCGGAUAUCUAAACGAACCUUAACGCCGGACUUGUAUAGACGUAUACUUUUUGUAGCCGAUUUUUAUAUUGGCUUUACGAUAUGGUAAAUGAGCAUCGAUUUUAAUCGAUUAAAAAUGAGAAAUAAACAACACUAAACAAUCUAACGCAGUGUUUCUCAACUUUUAGGCCAAGACUUUACGAAAAUUACAAUAGGGUAACGAUUUUUGCAAAUACUUAUUUUGAGGAACAACAUGAUUAUUACAAAUUUCUUUAAUUACAUCCAAUAGUAAAUUUAGCGCCAUUUUUUUUUCAAAUUGUAUAUCAAAGGUGAUUUUUAUAGUCGUGCCUCUGUAAGCUUGAAAACACUGACUUAAUGUUAAAAUUAUUGCUAUUUUUACUGAAAUUCCAUAACUCAAUUGUUACAUAUUGAACUGUUGACCUCACAACAUUGUCAUAGGAAACAAUUCGGUAGAUUCUCGCUUAUUUUACCACAUGGACGGAGAUCCAACUAAUAUUCAAUACAAUGACGUUAUACAAACAUUUGUCAAAUAUCAACGCUAUAGUCCAUAAGUUUGGGCAAAUGUUCGGCAAAUUGUCACAAAUAUAAUUUAAACUGUUGUUUGCAUAAUUGGUGUUCAUAUUGGUGUUACAGUUUGACCCAAAUUAUUGGCCAAAUAUUGUAAAAAAGAGCGUCAUAUAACAAUUACAUAAAACUUAUACUGUAAGCCAAAUCUACGUGUACACGGCUCCUAAAAUUACGAAAAGCCAAAGUAAUGAUAUUUGUAUAUUAUAUAUUUAUAUAUGUAUAUGUCUGUAUAUAACCAGUGCAAUGAGUAUAUAUCUAAACUAUAAAAAACGUGUUGUCUAUAUUGGAAGCAUCAACAAUUCGUCAAUUCCGUGAGUGCUAAAUUAUUAAGUAUUUGUUCCUAAGCUUAUCAACUAAAACGAGAAGACUUUAAGGAUCAAAAUCGCUUGAACAUUGACCAACUAAUGAGAUUCUUUCAUUCAGAAAACCUUUAACUUUGUUCAAGGGAUUUUAACCUUAAUAAUAAUGGUCCAUCUUUUACGAUUUGAUACGACUUUUCAAACACAACCCACUCUAAACUAUACAUCCCCUUU